rnacentral:rRNA from 1 species
UAAGAAUUUAAAAGUCGAACAGACUUAUUUAUAAGAAUGCUGCUUCUUUAUAAUAUUCUUAAUUCAACAUCGAGGUCGCAAAAUAUAAUAUAGAUAUGAACUCCCCAUUAAAAUUACGCUGUUAUCCCUAAGGUAACUUAAUCUUAUUUUCCUUCUUUAAGGAUCUUAAAUUUCAUAAAUAAAUGAUAUAAAAAACUAAAGUUUACAUUUAGCUACCACCCCAGCAAAAAAUAAAUAUUUAUAUAAUAUAAUAACCCUAAUAAUUAAAUUAAAUUGUAUAAAUUUAUAUAAAGUUCUACAGGGUCUUAUCGUCCCAAUAAACUACUAAAGCAUUUUAACUUUAAAUUUAAAUUCUAAUUUUUCAAGAAAUAAAAUAUAUUUCUCAUACAUCCAUUCAUACAAGCUUCUAAUUAAGAAACUAAUUACUAUGCUACCUUUGCACAGUCAAAAUACUGCAGCCAUUUAGUUAAAACCAUAGGGCAGAAGAUACUUUUUAUAUAAUCA